AGUAGUUUCGACGUCCGUGGCGUACGGGACGACGCUGGCGGCGUGCUUAACACAUGCAAGUCGAACGGAAAGGCCUGCUUUCCCUUGUGGAUUGCGGGUGCUCGAGUGGCGAACGGGUGAGUAACACGUGAGUGAUCUGCCCCCAACUUGGGUAUAAGCCUGGGAAACUGGGUCUAAUUCCCGAUAGGACUGCAGGGUGGUGCCUGUGGUGGAAAACGAUUUCUAGUGGUUGGGGAUGAGCUCGCGGCCUAUCAGCUUGUUGGUGGGGUAAUGGCCUACCAAGGCGGCGACGGGUAGCCGGCCUGAGAGGGUGGACGGCCACAUUGGGACUGAGAUACGGCCCAGACUCCUACGGGAGGCAGCAGUGGGGAAUAUUGCACAAUGGGCGGAAGCCUGAUGCAGCGACGCCGCGUGGGGGAUGACGGCCUUCGGGUUGUAAACUCCUUUCGACCGCGAGGAAGCCACCUGGUUGGAAGGGUGGCGACGGUAGUGGUAGAAGAAGCACCGGCUAACUACGUG
rnacentral:rRNA from 1 species